CAGGCAAUGGUUUUAGGGUCCUGAUGAGAUCAUGCCAGUGAGAUCUAAAUCUUUGAUAGUCAUGACUUAGAAUAUUUUCAGUUGUUGAUUCAUUGAGUUGGGGAUCAAUGAUACCGAUAAGACUGGUAUGUUUUAUGUAUGCUCAGAAAUGAGGAUGGUUGAUCUCAUAAUCAUUUAUAUGGUGAUACUAAUACAAGGAUAUGAAUACUUAUUAGAGAAUGAGUUCACUGAAUAGACUUGUGAGAGAAUAUCAGAUGUUGUUUUAUUUAUAUGUCAACUAAUGACUCUCUAGUGGGAGUUGUGUAAGUGAUCUUUUGACCUAA
rnacentral:lncRNA from 1 species